rnacentral:rRNA from 1 species
GGGCUUUAACUGACGCUGAGGCACGAAAGCGUGGGUAGCAAACAGGAUUAGAUACCCUGGUAGUCCACGCUGUAAACGAUGAUUACUAGGUGUGGGUGGACUGACCCCAUCCGUGCCGCAGUUAACACAAUAAGUAAUCCACCUGGGGAGUACGGCCGCAAGGUUGAAGCUCAAAGGAAUUGACGGGGGCCCGCACAAGCAGUGGAGUAUGUGGUUUAAUUCGAAGCAACGCGAAGAACCUUACCAGGUCUUGACAUCGAGUGACGUAUCUAGAGAUAGGUAUUUCCUUCGGGACACGAAGACAGGUGGUGCAUGGUUGUCGUCAGCUCGUGUCGUGAGAUGUUGGGUUAAGUCCCGCAACGAGCGCAACCCUUGCUAUUAGUUGCUACGCAAGAGCACUCUAAUAGGACUGCCGUUGACAAAACGGAGGAAGGUGGGGACGACGUCAAAUCAUCAUGCCCCUUAUGACCUGGGCUACACACGUACUACAAUGGUCGUUAACAGGGGGAAGCAAUACAGCGAUGUGGAGCAAACCCCUAAAAGCGGUCUCAGUUCAGAUGCAGGCUGCAACCCGCCUGCAUGAAGUCGGAAUGCUAGUAA